GGAGUGAAGACUGCUGCCAUGUCCUGCCUGCCAUCAGCUGCACACAGUGGAGUGUUGCUUCAGGACCUUUCUGAUGGUUUGCUUUUUCAGCUUAAUGAAAUUUCUUGAGGAACAUUUCAGAUCAGCAUAUCAGAGUUCCAGCAUUCAUAGCUCUCAGCAAUAAAGGAAGUGUUCUGAACAUACUGGGCUUGGGAGAGGUCUCAGUUUAUAGUUGGCCAAUGACUGCCUCACUGCUUAUAACUUUGCCCUGAUGCUCCCUUAUGCUGAAGAUGAACAGAGAGGAUCUCUCAGGAAUAAAAGCACCUGCAAAGUUCUGCCUGGCUGAGGACCGAGCAGGAUACACCUGGCAGCCAAUAUCUGCCUGGAGGAAGGAAGACAGGCCUGCAACCCAGCAGAGGAGUGCCAGCCCCUCACCUGUGCUCUGCCGUCACACUCAGGUGCACUGUGCGUGGGUCUGCCUGUCAGCUGGCACUGAAUCCUACCACCCCGUUCCAGGCCUGACUAUCUGCUUUGUGUUCCCAGAGACCUGUUGCCCCUGCCUGUGUGCACCCAGGAAGACCCUGGUUUCUAUAACAACAGACCCCGUGCCCCCAGAGUUUCCUCUCACUCUGAGUUUAGGCCACCUGCCAAUCUGCCCCGACUCUGCCCAGCCCUCAUCCUGCCCAUGCUUGUCCCCACCCAGACACCAGCACUGAGCAUCAGUGUUUCCCACGGGUGCAAAGAGGAAAAUGGAGAAUCAGUAAAUGUCAAUAAAAGGAGAGCUUCUGUAAGUCAUUCUAAU